GACAGAGGGUGCAAACGUUGUUCGGAAUUACUGGGCGUAAAGCGCGUGUAGGCGGCCAUGCACGUCGGAUGUGAAAGCCCUCGGCUCAACCGGGGAAGUGCACUCGAAACUGCAAGGCUAGAGUCUCGGAGAGGAUCGUGGAAUUCUCGGUGUAGAGGUGAAAUUCGUAGAUAUCGAGAGGAACACCGGUGGCGAAGGCGGCGAUCUGGACGAUGACUGACGCUGAGACGCGAAAGCGUGGGGAGCAAACAGG
rnacentral:rRNA from 1 species